ensembl:lncRNA
AGAAAACAAAACUGGACCAAAGGUGCACGUCACAGCAGGAUAAAUUCCAAGCAGGUAAAAGACUCCCACGUGUUGUUUGGUUUUACUUUUUCUCAAGUUCCAAAAGAACAGAACAUGUGGAGAAUUCCUAUGCAACUGUCGCAAACCCUUCUGACUCUAAAUCCAGAAGCCACAGGAGGCGAAGACAUUUCCAGGUGAUCACGCACCUGCUCCCAUGAAGGCCCCAGGCCGUGCUGCAGAAGCCACUGCCUCACGCAGCUGAGGGAGGAGUCAGGAGUCAGCCGUGAAAUGCUUAGCAAAGCAGCUCGAUCGCCACACUUACUACCCUCAUCGUCAUCUGCUCAGACAAUGGGAUGACCCUUCAGCUGCCCAGAGAGGUGAGGCACUGGCCCCAGGGACAGGAGACAGAGGAGCUGUGGACCCAGGACACAUCCCACCAUCUAGGAGCAAGCAUGGGAGGACCGGCCCCAAGAAGCAGAAGGAAACCGGAAGUCAAGGAAAGAGUUUCUCACUGAGAAUGAGGAAACUGAGCUUAGCUCUAAGAGCACAGCAGUUCCAAGAUGACCAAGCGCUCGAGAAAGCUGGCUAAAGCAGAGGAGUCCAGGAGAUUCAGCCAGAAAAGGUUCACCCUCCAGCCUUCAUCCUGGCCCACAGAGGGUCAGCACAGUGGAACAGGACAUGCUGAGUCACAAGCACUGAGAGGUAAACAGGAAGUGAGGACACAGGCGACUGUAAACAGGACAGGACAGUCAAUCGGGCGAGGGAAGGGCACUACAGCCUGCCUGGUUCUGGAUUUGAGUUCACCAGGGCUGGGCCAGGCUGGCAGAGACUGAGUGCGCCCAGUUCUCAGGCUUGGCACACACUCCGGUCCUUCUACCUCUCAGCACCUUAAUCUCAGCUUCCUGCUGGCUCACAGCUGGGCCGCCCCUUCCACAGACACACACACACAUGCUGCCACUCCCUGCGGCCACCAGGGACCAGGUGCUAGGCCUUCUGCUAUGCUCCAGGCCAGCACAGCCAUCCCUGCCUCUACGCUGCCAUCCCAAGAAUCAACAUGCCGUCACCUAAACCAUGCCACCGCCGCCUAAAUCACAUCAUUGCCUAAAUGACACCACCUUCUAAACCACUGGAUGCUUCUUCUUCUUCCUAUUUCCGUGACCGUUCUUUACACAUAGCACAUGUGCAAUAAAUAUAAAUUAUUUUAGAACCUUGCCCAAAAAAUAGACAUCUCUAUUCCAUAUGGUUGAUGGAGUUAACUGACUAUAAUUUGUUUCAAAGAUUUGGUGGAAUCCCACUCUCGGGCCUCUGGCUCCCUCGUCUGCGGAGAGCCUACGGCAAGCAGUUCUUUCCAUGCUCCAGGCUCAGCCGCUGUCUACUAACGGACACAGUUUGGUCGCAUCUUAUACAAUUCUGACAUAGCUGAGUGAAACCUUAGCCAUGUUGCUAUUUUCCUUUCAUCUCUUUACUAUUUUGUUUCUGCAUCUCUCCUUGUUUUCUUUUGUACCCAUCAAGUACCUCUUACCUUCCUCCAUUACCAUGUGAAUUAUACAUGAUUAUUAUUUGGUGAUUCCUUGGGCAAGCACAAAGAAAAGCCCACCUGUGUGACCUAAUUUCUAGCAUCUGUCAGAGAUUAGCGCUUCACAGUUUCGAACACGAGGAGGACCGGCACCCAGCCCCGUGAGCUACUCCCAUCACACAUGCUGGC